UGAGAGUCUCUGGCUCGCUAGGAGUCGUUUAAAGAAUCCGCGCGAGCGGUACCAGGUGUUAACCGUGCGGGACCGAGACGGGUCCUUAGCUUCGGCCCUUUCCCAUCCUCUCUGGUCAGAGGGAAGAAUGAGAAGAACUCAGUCAAGCAAUGCCACUUGAGGUCAAGAAGCUGGUUCUCCACCCUGUCCCCCAAGCAGUGUACAGAACUCAGCAUUGCUGGUGAAGGUCCCUCUGGAGGACACCCAAGUUCAACAUGAUCUUGACAGACCUGUGACUGACCUGACCCUCCCUCCAGUCCUGUGCCACUGACACAUAUGCUUGAUGCCUUCUGCUUUGUCCUAGUACCCAAGACGGUGAGUGAAGCAGGGGUCAAAAGUUCAGUUCUCAGCUGCAUAGUGAGUUUGAGGCCAGCCUGGGUUAAAUGAUACACUGCUUUAACACAAUGAAAUAAAGGACGGGAGAGAUUGGUUUGG
ensembl:processed_transcript 1700122E12Rik RIKEN cDNA 1700122E12 gene